CUUGGUCAUUUAGAGGAAGUAAAAGUCGUAACAAGGUUUCCGUAGGUGAACCUGCGGAAGGAUCAUUACAAAUCAUUGUUGUGUUGUUGGGCCGGUUUGGUUUGGUAGGUUUUAUAUCUGCCAAGCCAUCUACUCAACAUCAACACUUGCGCGUGUUGUGUUUGACAGAGUAAAUUACUUUAUAAUUAUUGACAACUUUUAACAAUGGAUCUCUUGGCUCUUGCAACGAUGAAGAACGCAGUUAUGUGCGAUAUCUAGUGCGAUUUGCAUGAAUCUGUGAGUCAUCGAGUUUUUGAACGCAACUUGCGCCCAGCAAUGGGCAUGUCUGUUCGAGUACCACAAUAAAAAAAUGUUUUAUACGAUUUGAUUAAGCCAAUGGCUUGAUCUAAAAGAGUGUUUUCUCUUGGGAAAAGAGUUCCACGCUAGAGACGCAAGUCUUCUUGGACCCUCCUCCCCUCUAAACCUUUGGUCUCGAAUCAGGCAAGAUUACCCGCUGAACUUAAGCAUAUCAAUAAGCGGAGGA
rnacentral:rRNA from 1 species